CCUACGGGGGGCUGCAGUGGGGAAUAUUGGUCAAUGGGCGAAAGCCUGAUCCAGCAACGCCGCGUGAAGGAAGAAGGGUUUCGGCUCGUAAACUUCUAUCAACAGGGACGAAAGAAAUGACGGUACCUGCAUAAGAACCUCCGGCUAACUACGUCCCAGCAGCCCCGGUAAUACGUAGGGGGCAAGAGUUAUCCGGAUGUACGGGGUGUAAGGGGAGUGUAGACGGCUGUGUAAGUCUGGAGUGAAAGCCCGGGGUGCAACCCCGGGACUGCAUUGGAAACUGUGUAACUGGAGUACAGGAGGGGCAGGCGGAAUUCCUGGUGUAGCGGUGAAAUGCGUAGAUAUCAGGAGGAACACCGGCGGCGAAGGCGGCCUGCUGGACGGAAACUGACGGUGAGGCGCGAAAGCGUGGGGAGCAAACAGGAUUAGAUACCCGUGUAGUC
rnacentral:rRNA from 1 species